ensembl:lncRNA
ACCGGCUUCCACGCUGAAUGCUGGUCACACUGGAAGGAGACUUACGGACUGGCGAGGAGAAGCCGCCCGAGCUGGCUGAAGUAGUCCUCCGGUGAUUGCCUUAGAUGAGACGCAGGUGGUUUGGAGGCGGCCCAGCCCGAGGGCGUGGCCACCGCAGCCUCCCACAGCUCCCAGGAUGCCGAGCCACGGGCCGUGACAAUCUGAACAUAAAGUGAAAAUAUUCUGAUCAUUUUCAGCUCUGUGUUUGAACAAUAACUUCAUAACUUAACAACAAAAAAUGCUUCCUUUUCUUUUACUGGGCCUCUGUGCAUUUCAUAUAUUCAAAUCUAUUCAUUUGGUGAAAAAUCUGACUUCAUUCCACCAUUUGGUUAUUUUAUGAAUGCAGAUACCUGUUUGUUUAAAUGUGUGAAAACAGAUGAUCAACACUUUUCUCUUGGCUGCCAGAUCUCAUAUACAGCACAUGGAUAUGUUUCUCUGUCAGACUUGAAUGAGCAUGCCCAGCCAUACAGAGGGGGUCUCCUGAAGGCUGCAGUGGGAGUCUGCCAGGCCAGGACUGUGUGGGACCGCCCCGAGUACAACAGCUCAGCACAUCAUUGUGUUCACCAGUCUCUUUACCUGGUUUCUCCAGAGCUCAUGCCUGGACGCUCACCACCUCCCUCCCCUCCUGGACUCCAUUCUCUCUCUGUCACAUGGCACCUCUGUAUCCAGCAUCCUUUAGCACAGUGGUUCCCAAACUUUUUUCGCUAGGCCCCCCUUUGUUUUACAAGAAAAAUGUUCGCGCCCCCCCCCCUCUCUCGCGCACGCACACACGCACGCACUGACACAUCCUCCAACCACACACACUCAUAUUUUGCUCCAUUGCGGUUUAUUUCACACCUCAAACAUUUAGUAAACAAUUAAGCAAAUACAAGUAAUCUGCAGGUAGUAAGAAAAUAAACUACUAACUCUUUUACGCUGCGUCCGCACCUACACGGGUAUUUUUGAAAACGCAGCUGUUUCGUCCACACGGAAACGGCGUUUCGAAUCACCGAAAACGGAGAUUUUUUAAAACUCCUUUUUUUUACGUGUGGACGAGGAUUACAGAGUUCGUCA